AGAAUCAACGCUGGCGGCGUGCCUCAGACAUGCAAGUCGAACGCGAAAGUCCCCUUCGGGGAACAAGUAGAGUGGCGCACGGGUGAGUAACACGUAGGUAAUCUACCUUUGGAUGGGGGAAUAACAACCGGAAACGGUUGCUAAUACCGCAUAAUGCAGCGGCACCUAAUGGUGACAGUUGUUAAAGCGGGGGAUCGAAAGACCUCGCGUCUAAAGAGGAGCCUGCGGCGGAUUAGCUAGUUGGUAAGGUAAUGGCUUACCAAGGCUACGAUCC
rnacentral:rRNA from 1 species